rnacentral:snRNA from 1 species
UUGCUUCAGCAGCACACGUACCAAAAUUGGAAUGAUACAGAGAAGAUUAGUAUAGUCCCUGCACAAGGAUGACAUAUGAAUCCGUGAAGUGUUCCCUAUUUUU